rnacentral:rRNA from 1 species
GAUGAACGCCGGCGGCGUGCCUAAUACAUGCAAGUCGAGCGAACGGACGAGAAGCUUGCUUCUCUGAUGUUAGCGGCGGACGGGUGAGUAACACGUGGAUAACCGACCUAUAAGACUGGGAUAACUUCGGGAAACCGGAGCUAAUACCGGAUAAUAUUUUGAACCGCAUGGUUCAAAAGUGAAAGACGGUCUUGCUGUCACUUAUAGAUGGAUCCGCGCUGCAUUAGCUAGUUGGUAAGGUAACGGCUUACCAAGGCAACGAUGCAUAGCCGACCUGAGAGGGUGAUCGGCCACACUGGAACUGAGACACGGUCCAGACUCCUACGGGAGGCAGCAGUAGGGAAUCUUCCGCAAUGGGCGAAAGCCUGACGGAGCAACGCCGCGUGAGUGAUGAAGGUCUUCGGAUCGUAAAACUCUGUUAUUAGGGAAGAACAUAUGUGUAAGUAACUGUGCACAUCUUGACGGUACCUAAUCAGAAAGCCACGGCUAGCUACGUG